GUGAGGAAUUUUGCGCAAUGGCCGCAAGGCUGACGCAGCAACGCCGCGUGGGUGAAGAAGGCCUUCGGGUCGUAAAGCCCUGUCAGGUGGGAAGAAAGGUUUCGUCAAGAAACGGAUGGAAUUUGACGGUACCACCAGAGGAAGCACCGGCUAACUCCGUGCCAGCAGCCGCGGUAAUACGGAGGGUGCGAGCGUUAUUCGGAAUUAUUGGGCGUAAAGCGCGAGUAGGCGGGGAUGCAAGUCUGAUGUGAAAGCCCUGGGCUUAACCUGGGAAGUGCAUUGGAAACUGCAUUUCUUGAGUACUGGAGAGGAAGGGGGAAUUCCCGGUGUAGAGGUGAAAUUCGUAGAGAUCGGGAGGAAUACCAGUGGCGUAGGCGCCUUUCUGGACGGUUACUGACGCUGAGACGCGAAAGCGUGGGGAGCAAACAGGAUUAGAAACCCGUGUAGUCC
rnacentral:rRNA from 1 species